rnacentral:rRNA from 1 species
AGAUUGAACGCUGGCGGCAGGCCUAACACAUGCAAGUCGAGCGGAAACAGAGAGUAACUUGUUACUUUGCUGUCGAGCGGCGGACGGGUGAGUAAUGCUUGGGAAACUGCCCAGUCGAGGGGGACAACCAUUGGAAACGAUGGCUAAUACCGCAUACGCCCUACGGGGGAAAGAAGGGGACUCUUCGGAGCCUUUCGCGAUUGGAUGUGCCCAAGUGGGAUUAGCUAGUUGGUGAGGUAAAGGCUCACCAAGGCAACGAUCCCUAGCUGGUUUGAGAGGAUGAUCAGCCACACUGGAACUGAGACACGGUCCAGACUCCUACGGGAGGCAGCAGUGGGGAAUAUUGCACAAUGGGCGCAAGCCUGAUGCAGCCAUGCCGCGUGUAUGAAGAAGGCCUUCGGGUUGUAAAGUACUUUCAGCGAGGAGGAAAGGUUAGUCGUUAAUAACGGCUAGCUGUGACGUUACUCGCAGAAGAAGGACCGGCUAACUCCGUGCCAGCAGCCGCGGUAAUACGGAGGGUCCGAGCGUUAAUCGGAAUUACUGGGCGUAAAGCGUACGCAGGCGGUUUGUUAAGCGAGAUGUGAAAGCCCCGGGCUCAACCUGGGAACUGCAUUUCGAACUGACAAACUAGAGUUUUGUAGAGGGUGGUAGAAUUUCAGNUGUAGCGGUGAAAUGCGUAGAGAUCUGAAGGAAUACCAGUGGCGAAGGCGGCCACCUGGACAAUAACUGACGCUCAUGUACGAAAGCGUGGGGAGCAAACGGGAUUAGAUACCCCGGUAGUCCACGCCGUAAACGAUGUCAACUAGCCGACUGAAGCCUUGAGCUUUGGGUGGCGCAGCUAACGCAUUAAGUUGACCGCCUGGGGAGUACGGCCGCAAGGUUA